rnacentral:lncRNA from 1 species
GAAAGAGAAUGAAAAAACGUUGCCAUUUUUAUUUGUUUUUUUUUUUUUUUUUUUAAAAAUCGCAAAAUUAAAUGAAAAACAGGGAACACCGCUUUUAACUACAAAAACAUCCAUUCAUUACUGAUGCAAAAUGUUGCAUAAUGAAACACAUGAGAUGGCCCUUACAAUGGACCAUUACGUGUCGGGCAACACGUAUGGCUUUCAUGCAAACAAAAUUAAAACACCGAAAUACUACUCUUCAGAAUGAGUGACAGUGACGCUUUUGGAGGCCUUCCAGUUGCCUGGUACGCACGACUUUAUCCAUGCCUCAAGCUCGCGGUCGCUGUCAACAUCUCCACCCACUGAACGGGCAUGACCAGGAUCCAACAUUCCGGCACUGACGAAGGCGUAUAGUGGACGACAUCCUCUGUCUGGUCUAGACGACUCUAAAUCCGGAUGAUAACCGACUCCAAACAUGUCUGCUUU